GUAGACACUGAUAACAUAGAACCUAAAUACUCAAUGAAAAUGCUCAAACCAUCAAUAAAUCUCGUGACUAUUUGUGUUAUUCUCGUGCAUUUGUUAUAUUGCAUCCAGUGUGAUGAGAAUCCGUUAAAGGAGGAGGCUAUCAAACUGUCAAAUAUUCAUAAGGAUAUAGACACGGACAGGAACAGGAAAUUAACACGCCAAGAGGUAACAAUAUACCUCGUUGCAAACAAAAUUGGUUACAGUCCAGAUUCUGAUUACUUCAAAGACAUUGUGGACAGUUUGUUUGAUGAACAUGACAAAAAUAAAGAUGGACUUAUAGCUUAUGAUGAAUUUGUUCCGAGGCAUGAUGAACUUUGAACUUUGAAAGUUAGAUAAUAUAAUAUAAUUUUACGUAUCCUAGCUGGAUAAAAUGUAUUUUUGACAGUAUGUUCUCAUGCGUAUUAAAAUUUGCAUAUUUCGUUUUUAAUUUAGUCCUAUG